UUUGAUUUAAAAUUAAUUGUAAACGAAAAUAGAGUUAUAACGAGGAGAUCAUAGCUUUAAAAUUUUGAUCCAAGGGCACUGGAGACGAUUUCUCGAGUUAUAGGUAAGGACGACGGCGAGCUUGGAACCAUACUUCUCCGACAUAUUUCUUCUAUCACUUCUUAGCUUCAGAUUCUCAUCUUCUCUUCUCUCACUUUGGCUCUUCAAUUUCCUCCAUAUCUUCUUUACCAUCUUCGACGCCGUUGCAAUGUCUUCUCCGACACCUC
rnacentral:lncRNA from 1 species